rnacentral:rRNA from 1 species
UCCGUUGGUGAACCAGCGGAGGGAUCAUUACCGAGUUUACAACUCCCAAACCCCUGUGAACAUACCUUAAUGUUGCCUCGGCGGAUCAGCCCGCGCCCCGUAAAACGGGACGGCCCGCCAGAGGACCCAAACUCUAAUGUUUCUUAUUGUAACUUCUGAGUAAAACAAACAAAUAAAUCAAAACUUUCAACAACGGAUCUCUUGGUUCUGGCAUCGAUGAAGAACGCAGCAAAAUGCGAUAAGUAAUGUGAAUUGCAGAAUUCAGUGAAUCAUCGAAUCUUUGAACGCACAUUGCGCCCGCUGGUAUUCCGGCGGGCAUGCCUGUUCGAGCGUCAUUUCAACCCUCAAGCCCUCGGGUUUGGUGUUGGGGAUCGGCUCUGCCUUCUGGCGGUGCCGCCCCCGAAAUACAUUGGCGGUCUCGCUGCAGCCUCCAUUGCGUAGUAGCUAACACCUCGCAACUGGAACGCGGCGCGGCCAUGCCGUAAAACCCCAACUUCUGAAUGUUGACCUCGGAUCAGGUAGGAAUACCCGCUGAACUUAAGCAUAUCAAUAAGCC